rnacentral:misc_RNA from 1 species
GAUGAAGAACGUAUUGAAAUGCGAUACGUAAUGUGAAUUGCAGAAUUCAGUGAAUCAUCGAAUCUUUGAACGCACAUUGCGCCCGCCAGUAUUCUGGCGGGCAUGCCUGUCUGAGCGUCAUUUCAACCCUCAUGCCCCUAGGGCGUGGUGUUGGGGAUCGGCCAAAGCCCGCGAGGGACGGCCGGCCCCUAAAUCUAGUGGCGGACCCGUCGUGGCCUCCUCUGCGAAGUAGUGAUAUUCCGCAUCGGAGAGCGACGAGCCCCUGCCGUUAAACCCCCAACUUUCCAAGGUUGACCUCAGAUCAGGUAGGAAUACCCGCUGAACUUAAGCAUAUCAAUAAGCGGAGGA